rnacentral:rRNA from 1 species
CGAGUGGCGGACGGGUGAGUAAUGUCUGGGAAACUGCCUGAUGGAGGGGGAUAACUACUGGAAACGGUAGCUAAUACCGCAUAACGUCGCAAGACCAAAGAGGGGGACCUUCGGGCCUCUUGCCAUCAGAUGUGCCCAGAUGGGAUUAGCUAGUAGGUGGGGUAACGGCUCACCUAGGCGACGAUCCCUAGCUGGUCUGAGAGGAUGACCAGCCACACUGGAACUGAGACACGGUCCAGACUCCUACGGGAGGCAGCAGUGGGGAAUAUUGCACAAUGGGCGCAAGCCUGAUGCAGCCAUGCCGCGUGUAUGAAGAAGGCCUUCGGGUUGUAAAGUACUUUCAGCGGGGAGGAAGGUGUUGUGGUUAAUAACCGCAGCAAUUGACGUUACCCGCAGAAGAAGCACCGGCUAACUCCGUGCCAGCAGCCGCGGUAAUACGGAGGGUGCAAGCGUUAAUCGGAAUUACUGGGCGUAAAGCGCACGCAGGCGGUCUGUCAAGUCGGAUGUGAAAUCCCCGGGCUCAACCUGGGAACUGCAUUCGAAACUGGCAGGCUAGAGUCUUGUAGAGGGGGGUAGAAUUCCAGGUGUAGCGGUGAAAUGCGUAGAGAUCUGGAGGAAUACCGGUGGCGAAGGCGGCCCCCUGGACAAAGACUGACGCUCAGGUGCGAAAGCGUGGGGAGCAAACAGGAUUAGAUACCUGGUAGUCCACGCCGUAAACGAUGUCGACUUGGAGGUUGUGCCCUUGAGGCGUGGCUUCCGGAGCUAACGCGUUAAGUCGACCGCCUGGGGAGUACGGCCGCAAGGUUAAAACUCAAAUGAAUUGACGGGGGCCCGCACAAGCGGUGGAGCAUGUGGUUUAAUUCGAUGCAACGCGAAGAACCUUACCUACUCUUGACAUCCAGAGAACUUUCCAGAGAUGGAUUGGUGCCUUCGGGAACUCUGAGACAGGUGCUGCAUGGCUGUCGUCAGCUCGUGUUGUGAAAUGUUGGGUUAAGUCCCGCAACGAGCGCAACCCUUAUCCUUUGUUGCCAGCGGUUAGGCCGGGAACUCAAAGGAGACUGCCAGUGAUAAACUGGAGGAAGGUGGGGAUGACGUCAAGUCAUCAUGGCCCUUACGAGUAGGGCUACACACGUGCUACAAUGGCGCAUACAAAGAGAAGCGACCUCGCGAGAGCAAGCGGACCUCAUAAAGUGCGUCGUAGUCCGGAUUGGAGUCUGCAACUCGACUCCAUGA